rnacentral:rRNA from 1 species
AGAGUUUGAUCAUGGCUCAGAUUGAACGCUGGCGGCAGGCCUAACACAUGCAAGUCGAACGGUAGCACAGAGAGCUUGCUCUUGGGUGACGAGUGGCGGACGGGUGAGUAAUGUCUGGGAAACUGCCCGAUGGAGGGGGAUAACUACUGGAAACGGUAGCUAAUACCGCAUAACGUCUUCGGACCAAAGUGGGGGACCUU